rnacentral:rRNA from 1 species
GACGAACGCUGGCGGCGCGCCUAACACAUGCAAGUCGAACGGAGUUUACUUAUUAGAUCCCUUCGGGGUGACGAUUUGUAAACUUAGUGGCGGACGGGUGAGUAACGCGUGAGUAACCUGCCUUACAAAGGGGGACAACAGUUGGAAACGACUGCUAAUACCGCAUAACAUAUUUUGAGGCCAUCCUCGGGAUAUACAAGGAGCAAUCCGCUGUAAGAUGGACUCGCGUCCAAUUAGAUAGUUGGUGGGGUAACGGCCCACCAAGUCGACGAUUGGUAGCCGGACUGAGAGGUUGAACGGCCACAUUGGGACUGAGACACGGCCCAGACUCCUACGGGAGGCAGCAGUGGGGGAUAUUGCACAAUGGAGGAAACUCUGAUGCAGCAACGCCGCGUGAGGGAAGAAGGUUUUCGGAUUGUAAACCUCUGUUUUUAGUGAAGAAACAAAUGACGGUAGCUAAAGAGGAAGCCACGGCUAACUACGUGCCAGCAGCCGCCGUAAAAC